UUUUUUUUAACCAGAAAGAGAAAAGAAUUAGUUGAGCCUUAUAAUAAUUGAUUGGGAAUUACUUUAAGAGAGCCAAUCAGCCUCCUUCUUUCCAAUAAUGGUUGCUUAAAAUAAUGGCAAAUUAGUAUCUCAAUAAAUGGUCGCAUUCAAUAAUGUUCUCGAUUGUAUUGUAUUAAAAUUUGAACGUAUGUAUAAAAUGCUAUGUUAGACAAAUUGGAG
rnacentral:misc_RNA from 1 species